CACGUAGGGGGCAAGCGUUGUCCGGAUUCAUUGGGCGUAAAGAGCUCGUAGGCGGUUCGAUAAGUCGGGUGUGAAACCUCCAGGCUCAACCUGGAGGCGCCACCCGAUACUGUCGUGACUAGAGUCCAGUAGGGGAGCGUGGAAUUCCUGGUGUAGCGGUGAAAUGCGCAGAUAUCAGGAGGAACACCAGCGGCGAAGGCGGCGCUCUGGGCUGGAACUGACGCUGAGGAGCGAAAGCGUGGGGAGCGAACAGG
rnacentral:rRNA from 1 species